CAAAAGUUUAGUCCUGACUUUACUAUCAACUAUAACUAAAUUUACACAUGCAAGUAUCUGCACCCCCGUGAGAAUGCCCCACAGCCCCCCAAUCGGGGGCAAGGAGCGGGUAUCAGGCACACUUAAUAGCAGCCCAUGACACCUUGCUCGGCCACACCCCCAAGGGUACGCAGCAGUGAUCAACAUUAGGCCAUAAGCGAAAGCUUGACUUAGUUAAAGUUAAGAGGGCCGGUAAAACUCGUGCCAGCCACCGCGGUUAUACGAGAGGCCCAAGUUGAUAUUCAUCGGCGUAAAGCGUGGUUAAGACCAACUUAUUACUAAAGCCGAAUGCCCUCAAGACUGUUAUACGCAUCCGAAGGUAAGAAGCCCAAAUACGAAAGUAACUUUAUACACCUGAACCCACGAAAGCUAAGGUACAAACUGGGAUUAGACACCCCACUAUGCCUAGCCCUAAACAUUGACAACCCCCCACACCCGUUGUCCGCCCGGGUACUACGAGCAUUAGCUUAAAACCCAAAGGACUUGGCGGUGCUUUAGAUCCACCUAGAGGAGCCUGUUCUAGAACCGAUACUCCCCGUUAAACCUCACCCCUUCUUGUUCUUACCGCCUAUAUACCACCGUCGUCAGCUUACCCUGUGAAGGGUUAGUAGUAAGCAGAGUUGUCACAACCCAAAACGUCAGGUCGAGGUGUAGUGUAUGAAGGGGGAAGAAAUGGGCUACAUUCUCUAAUUAAGAGAAUACGGAUGGUGUACUGAAAAAAUACAACCUGAAGGAGGAUUUAGUAGUAAGCAGAAAGCAGAGUGUUCCGCUGAAAAUGGCCCUGAAGCGCGCACAUACCGCCCGUCACUCUCCCUAAGCUAAUGGAAUAGAAUAAUUAAACCCCAACAACUGCAAAAGGGAGGCAAGUCGUAACAUGGUAAGUGUACCGGAACGUGCACUUGGAAAAAU
rnacentral:ncRNA from 1 species